rnacentral:tmRNA from 1 species
GGGGCUGACCGGUUUUGACAGUAAGUGUGAAUAUCGGGCUCGCAUGCAGGCUGGAGUAUGUACGGCCUUGAAAGAUUCAUACACACUAUAAAUGGCGAAAAUUCUUACGCCAUGGCUGCCUAAUCUAACCUCAUAGGAUAGAUUGCUUAAAGGGUUGAGUCACGAUAGUGAUUCCCCGGCCACAUCUCACCGCCCGUUAUCUGAUCCGGGUGGAUCUGAGGUGUCGACUUGAUCGGGUUGCGGCUUGUGAUGCUAUUAAGCAGGUCUAAGGUCAAUAGCUAAGCCGAGACAAGGUGUGUCAUCCAGCAUAUCUCGGUCGAAAACCGAACAGGUGACUAAGCAUGUAGACGGUACGUUGUUUCCUUAUCUGGACGCGAGUUCGAAUCUCGCCAGCUCCACGU